rnacentral:rRNA from 1 species
GUGGGGAAUUUUGGACAAUGGGCGCAAGCCUGAUCCAGCAAUGCCGCGUGCAGGAAGAAGGCCUUCGGGUUGUAAACUGCUUUUGUACGGAACGAAACGGCUCUGGUUAAUACCCGGGGCUAAUGACGGUACCGUAAGAAUAAGCACCGGCUAACUACGUGCCAGCAGCCGCGGUAAUACGUAGGGUGCAAGCGUUAAUCGGAAUUACUGGGCGUAAAGCGUGCGCAGGCGGUUUUGUAAGACAGGCGUGAAAUCCCCGGGCUCAACCUGGGAAUGGCGCUUGUGACUGCAAAGCUGGAGUGCGGCAGAGGGGGAUGGAAUUCCGCGUGUAGCAGUGAAAUGCGUAGAUAUGCGGAGGAACACCGAUGGCGAAGGCAAUCCCCUGGGCCUGCACUGACGCUCAUGCACGAAAGCGUGGGGAGCAAACAGGAUUAGAUACCCCAGUAGUCC